ACUCCAGCCUGGGUGAUAGAGGAAGACCUUGCCUCAAAAAAAGAAAAAUAUAUGUGUCUGGUAUAAAAUCCUGACAGUAUAAAUGUUUUGGAGAUUCAUCCAUGUUGUUGCAUGCAUUCAUAGCUUGUGCCUUUUUAUUACUUGGUAGUAUUCGGUUGCAUGAAUAAGUUACUAUUUGCUUAUCUGUUCACCUGUUGAUGAACAUCUGAAUUGUUUCCAUUUGAGGACUAUUAUGAAUAAAGCUACUUUAAGCAUU